rnacentral:rRNA from 1 species
UGAGUAACCUGCCCUUAACUCUGGGAUAAGCCUGGGAAACUGGGUCUAAUACCGGAUAUGACUCCUCAUCGCAUGGUGGGGGGUGGAAAGCUUUAUUGUUGGUUUUGGAUGGACUCGCGGCCUAUCAGCUUGUUGGUGAGGUAAUGGCUCACCAAGGCGACGACGGGUAGCCGGCCUGAGAGGGUGACCGGCCACACUGGGACUGAGACGCGGCCCAGACCUCCGUACGGGAGCAG